rnacentral:rRNA from 2 species
CCUGUACUUUCUAUAUGUGUGAUGGAGUGACGGAGGAGGAYAGUCAUACCUGUUAUUGGAUUCAGGGGUAARUAACGACUGGUGGUUGUAGGCAAAUCCGCAACCUAUAACUGGGAGUUAUGAUGCAUAGAUCGCAAGAUUGAAUUUGAUGAUUUCACACUUCCUAGAAAAGCUUCUAAACUUAAGCAYAUGGAAACCUGUACCGAGAACGGACACACGUCCCCUAGAUGAGUAUUCUAAGGCGAGCGAGAAAACUAGUGUUAAGGAACUCUGCAAAAUGACCCCGUAAGUUCGCAAGAAGGGGYACCUAUGGUAACACAUAGGUCACAGUAAAUUAUGAGGGGCAACUGUUUAUCAAAAACACAACUCUCUGCUAAACCGCAAGGUGAUGUAUAGGGGGYGAAGCCUGCCCAGUGCCCGAAGGUUAAGUGGAUGCGUUAG